UACGUAGGGGGCAAGCGUUGUCCGGAAUCAUUGGGCGUAAAGAGCGUGUAGGCGGCCUGACAGGUCUGCUGUGAAAACUCGAGGCUCAACCUCGAGAUGUCGGCGGAAACCGUCUGGCUAGAGUCCGGAAGAGGAGAGUGGAAUUCCUGGUGUAGCGGUGAAAUGCGUAGAUAUCAGGAGGAACACCGGUGGCGAAGGCGGCUACCUGGACAGAAACUGACGCUGAGGCGCGAAAGCUAGGGGAGCAAACAGG
rnacentral:rRNA from 1 species